UCCCUGGUAGUAUAUCGGUUAGUACACGCGCUUGUCAUCUCUCAUGGCAAGGAUACUUUUCAAGCGCGCGAAAGCUGGGUUCGACUCCCAGCCAGGGAG